UACAGAGGUCUCAAGCGUUGUUCGGAUUCAUUGGGCGUAAAGGGUGCGUAGGCGGCGCGGUAAGUCGGGUGUGAAAUCUCGGGGCUUAACUCCGAAACUGCAUUUGAUACUGGCGUGCUUGAGGACUGGAGAGGAGACUGGAAUUCACGGUGUAGCAGUGAAAUGCGUAGAUAUCGUGAGGAAGACCAGUGGCGAAGGCGGGUCUCUGGACAGUUCCUGACGCUGAGGCACGAAGGUCAGGGGAGCAAACGGG
rnacentral:rRNA from 1 species